CAAGUUUCUAUCGGGGUUAAGUCCAGGAUCCAAAUAAUCACAAAUCCUUUCAAGAAAUGAAUAGGAUGUAAGGGAUCAAAAAUGUGUUACAAGUUGUAAGUUGCAACCUUGACAUCCGAUUGGAAAUGUAAGACUUCAAUAUACUCUAAAAUAAUUGGAGUUGCAAAGAAAGAUGGAAAAGACCUGGGACUUGAGGAGAAAUGCCAACCAAUGUGUACUCAAGAUUGUAUCUUGCUUAGUUAAGUGUUCAAUGCCAAUGAUGUAACAAUUAUGUGAUGAUAAUUAAGUGUUAAAAUGUAUUAUGAGAGGUGCAAGGAUAUGUAAUAGUUUUCAUAUAUGUAAUGACUAGUUGUUUGUAAUAUAA